rnacentral:rRNA from 1 species
CGUGCUAGGACGAACGCUGGCGGCGUGCCUAAUACAUGCAAGUCGAACGGUCUUUCUAUGGAAGCUUGCUUCCACUGAAAAGAUAGUGGCGAACGGGUGAGUAACACGUGGGUAACCUGCCCAUAAGAGGGGGGAUAACAUCCGGAAACGGAUGCUAAUACCGCAUAGUUUUCUUGAUCGCAUGAUCGGGAAAGGAAAGACGGCCUUUGUGCUGUCGCUUAUGGAUGGACCCGCGGCGUAUUAGUUAGUUGGUGAGGUAACGGCUCACCAAGACGAUGAUACGUAGCCGACCUGAGAGGGUGAUCGGCCACAUUGGGACUGAGACACGGCCCAAACUCCUACGGGAGGCAGCAGUAGGGAAUCUUCCGCAAUGGACGAAAGUCUGACGGAGCAACGCCGCGUGAGUGAAAGAAGGUUUUCGGAUCGUAAAACUCUGUUGUCAGAGAAGAACAAGUUGGAGAGUAACUGCUCCAGCCUUGACGGUAUCUGACCAGAAAGCCACGGCUAACUACGUGCCAGCCGCCGC